GAUGAACGCUAGCUACAGGCUUAACACAUGCAAGUCGAGGGGAAACGAUAUUGGAAGCUUGCUUCCGAUAGGCGUCGACCGGCGCACGGGUGAGUAACGCGUAUCCAACCUGCACAUCACUUGGGGAUAACCUUGCGAGAGUACGACUAAUACCGAAUGACGUCUCUAGAAGACAUCUGAAGGCGAUUAAAGAUGUAUCUGUGAUGGAUGGGGAUGCGUCUGAUUAGCUUGUUGGCUGGGUAACGGCCCACCAAGUCGACGAUCAGUAGGGGUGCUGAUGAGAAGGACCCGCCCAUUGGAAAUGAGACACGGUCCAAACGCCUACGGGAGGCAGCAGGAAGAAAUAUUGGUCAAUGGACCAGAGACUGAAACAGCCAAGUAGCGUGCAGGAUGACGGCCCUAUGGGUUGUAAGCUGCUUUUAUAAGGGAAUAAAGUGAGUCUCGUGAGACUUUUUGCAAGUACCUUAUGAAUAAGGACCGGCUAAUUCCGUGCCAGCCGCCACGGUAA
rnacentral:rRNA from 1 species